UCUCUAACCAUCUCCCACGUGUGCUCUGUCUCUCUCUCUCAAAAAUAAAAAAUAAACAUUAAAAAAAAGCUUUCCUGUAAGCUAUGGUGAGGAGUAAAUAAAUUAGGUGUGGAAAGUGCUCAGGAAGUGCUUACUGGCCUACAGUCAGUGUUUCUUGUAGUGAUUAUCGUACCCCCUUCCUCCACUUCAGCCAGCUGCGCAGUGAGCUCAGGCACAACUAGCACCAGGAUGGGGAUGCCCAGGUCAGAGGUCAGUCCUCUGAGAUCCCAUGAUCCUCUAAGAUUUAGAGAGAAGGCAGUGGAUAUGGAAGGAACUCACUUUGCAGAAAGACAUAUAGAGAUUUCAAUCCAGCCUCUGCUCCUGAUUAAGUAUGCAGUCUUGGACCUGUCGUUUAACACCUCAGUUUUCUCAUCUAUAAAACGCAAAUACCAAUAGCUCCUCUCAGGAUUGUUUUGAAGAUUAAAUAAUGCCUGUAAUGCGUGGAGCACUUGAGUGCAGGAACAUAGCAGUUAUUUAAUAAAUGUUAAUUUCCUUUUUCUUCCCUUCAAAUCGAGCAUUACUCUCGCGGGCAUAGGGGCAAUUGCAGAAUGGAAGCCAAGGAGCUGUGCUUUCUCUUCGGCAUUUCCUACAAUGUGCCUUUGGCCCCCAUCACAGGCCCCUUCUUACUCAUCUUCUUAAUUCCGUUCUUACAGGACCCAGUCAGCUGCAAUUUUGAAUCUCCUUUCUAUUUUCUCUACAUGACCUUUUAAAAAUAUGAGCCUCCUUGAGAGUUCCCCAGGGUCUGAUUUUUCUGGGUUUUCUCCCAUGUUACUCCUGUUUGGGACCAUUGCUGGUUACACAAGCAGAAUUUUGGUUCUGAGGGCCUCCUUCUAAAGCCUGUAAUCCGUGAAAUCACGGUUUUCUUUCCCAUCCACUUUUCGAAAUCUGUCUACUAAAGCCUGGGCUUUGGGUAUACCUGGCCUGUCUUUCUCUAACAGGCCCUGUGAGACCAUAUGGACAUUUUCCCCAAGAUUCCCUGCAUUUCACCAGUUCUUCAUGGUUGAUGGGAACUGAUAAGCCCAGAAUAGCAAAGGGUCUUUUUUUAACUAUAGCUCCCCCACCAUGUAUCAAGCCCUGUCACAGCACUAGAAAUCAGUAGAGAGAAAAGGCCCAUGCCUAUAUAGAUAAUAUAUUUUAGCUGCAGAUACAGACAUCAAGAGAACCAAAUAAGGAUUAAUAUGAUUUUUAGACACUUAAAAAUCCUUGCAGAAAAAUAAGACAGGUAGGUGAUAGAACAUGUAGGGAUGGAAGGGAGUGGAUUGGAGGAGUGGAUGAGAUGGUCAGGGAGAGCCUUAUCUGAGGUUGUGAGAGUUAACAGAAACUGACCCGAGAGAGUGAGUCCUGCAAAGAUUAGGAGAUCUUUGAGGUGGGAAGUACAAUUGCAAAGGCCCAAGGGCUGAGGAAAAAGUGUAUUUUAGUCAGAGCCCGUGGAAUCCUAGAAGAACCAUGAAUGGCUAUUGGGGACCUGGGCAAAGGGUGUCUGUGUUUGCAUGUGUGCAUGUGUGUGUGUGUGUGUGAAUGCAUUUUUUUAGGGGAAAAGACCUGUAGGUUUCAUUAGACUCUCUGAGAUCUCUGAGCUGUACGAAGGGUAAUGACCAUGGCAACCUUCCUUCCAGCCAUCAGGGGAGGGAACUGUUAGCUCCACAAGUCGCCGAGCAUCCUGCUUUGACUGGAGUGGAAGCCUUCCCUUUGGCAUCUGGACAGCCAGGACCCUCCCUAUGCAGUUUACCUCCCUACCAAUCCUGCCCUCUGGGCCAGAAAGAGCCUCCCUCUUGAUCCAUUGGGUCAGAGCACCAAUGGCAGAUUAGAGAUCCAGCUCUCACCUCCAUUCUUCUCCCCCUUAGCCUCACCAAGUGCUUGCACCCUUGGAUGAGGGGGUGCCAGGCAGGAGUUAACCCUUCCUGCCCCAGCAGCGCUGUUCACGCAAACUCAAGUCCCCCGCGAAUCUUCGUGAUACCCAUGGGAUCACCCUGUGCCUGGCUUCCAGCCUGGAGUCAGCUUUGCUUGUAGCUCCUGCUGUCAAGACUGCUGCCUAGACUUCUGAGGAGUGAAGUUCUGUCUUCAGCUCCCAGAUCCACAGUUUCCUCAUCUGACUCAUGCUCCCUCCCACACGUGCUUUCUCUCUCCACCAUCCGCACUGUUCUCCAUAGCAACUGGUUCACAGAUGGAUUUCUUCUCUGCUGUGCCUAAUCCCUAAGCAAACUCCCUCUUCCCUACCCUCUUCACAAAAUGUCGCCUGCUUGAUUCAGCUUUUGUGGAUUCCAGGCCAGUAUCAAGAAAGCCAGACACCGCUUGUGAACACCAUUGGCGGAUCCAGCUGAUAUCCUGCCAGUUCUUUGCUCUUUCGAAGUCAGUGGGAAAAAAGCAAUAAAAGUACCACUCAGCCAUCUGACCUCCUCAGUGUCCCGGCAGACUUUAAAGAUGUGUCUCUCUUUCUAUGUGGGGUUGUUCAGCCCCAGGUGGUUAACAGCAGAGGGAAGUGGCCACAGCUGGGUGAGGCUCAGAUGCACCCCAGGAAAGUGACACCUCUCUCGCCAGGCUGUGUCCCCACAGCAGUAAGCAGCGAUGUCCUCCUUGUACCCACUAGUGCUCUGGAAUUUGUAGUCAGUCGACAUUUGAAUCGGGAUUAAGGUCAACAUACUAUGCUUAUAGAGCUGGCUUUCCCAUCACAUUUACCCAGAGUUCUGGAACUUCUUUUCCCCCCCACAUGGCUUGUUUCUUCGCUCAGAGUUUGGUUCCCUCUGUUCAGAUCAGCUUCUACUCUCUCCAUCCUUCCUUUCUUCUCCUUUUCUUUAUGUCAUUGUCUCUACUCUAUAGGGGGACACCUGCUCAGAAGCUGAUUUUUAGAUUCCUUCCCCUUCCCCCCAAGUGUAGUGACCACUUACACUUGCCAUGCAUCCAGCUGGGUGUUGCUUCAGGCAGGAAGACUCAAAGCUCUGAGGUUCCUCAAGGUGCCUCCUUGCCUUUCUGCUAGUCACUGGGUCCCAGUCUGCCCAUCUCAUGGGAUCAUUGUGAAGGUUAAAUGAGAUAGUGUAGAUGAAGUGCCCAGCCCGUAGUAGGUGCUCAGACAGGCUAAAUCCCUUCUUUCUGCUUCCCCUGGAUCCAUCUCCCCCAUUUAUGGUAGACACACUCACUUCACUCUGCCCAGGCUUUCCUCUGUAGUUCUCUCGGCCAGGUGGCACUGUGAGCCAAUCACAGAGGCACAGAAACCCCAUGUGUACCCAGGGUUCUUCCUGUGGGACCUUGCCAGACCCACGUUGGCAGGGACUGAAUCUUAUCUGAGGAUGGGUAUCUGGUAUUGUGUCCUCCAUGGUUUUGUUGAAUGAGUCAAUGAAUGAUUCAAAACAGAUGACAAAAAGCCCAGAUUCUGAGACUAACCCAGGCUGUUGCUAUAGGGCUGAUUUAAUGUGCUGCGUUCUCUCCAGAAGACUGGGUACCAUGUCAGGUCCUGCUUGGGGGCCAGGCUGGCCAUGCACCUGGGUGACCCAUGAGUUGUUUCCAUGGUGAAGAUCAGGUCUGGCUGCUUUAACUCUGAAUUAUCUGGGAGACUGAGGAACCUAUUACAUGCCAGGCGUAGUCAGGGAGUGGUCAGGACAGGCUUGAGUGAUCCUGGCAGAGAAUCAGACCCAGUCUCUGCACCUUCCCUAGUAAUGGCUAUCCGUGUCCUACUGGCUCAAGCAAUGGUGCUGGCCCCUGUUAGAGCCCUAAGACAGGCCUGAUUGAGGCUUGGAGCCAGAUGAAGAACACAUAACCUUUAUGGGGGGGAAAGCAAAAUCAAAACCUCACUUACGUGGGUUUCUAGAAUGGGGCAAUUCUUUUUGCUACUACAGUACAUUUUUUAAGUUUUUUUUUUGUUUUUGUUUUUGAGGGAUUUUUUUUGUUUGUUUUUUGUUUUUCAUUUUUUUGUUUUUUUUUGCCCCUCCCGGCAGAGAGAGAGGAUUAGAGAGAAUCCUAUGCCAACUCCAGUCCCGGUUGGGGGGGUGGGGGGCAACACGGGGCUCGAUCCCACAACCAUGAGAUCACCACCUGAGCCAAAAUCAAGAGCCAGAUGCUCAACUGACUGAGCCACCCAGGCGCCCCACAUUUUUUAAUUAACAAAUGGAUGAAAGGCACUUCCUGACAUUUCAGCUCAUCUUUCAGAGACUUCUAGCGGGGAGGACUCCAAAUAAAGCUUCCUUAUGACUUCCUAAUACUUUACGGCCCUUGCAGUCUUCCCACCACACACAUAUCCAGCAUCCUCCCCCCUCAUUCAGUCUGCACCCCACAUUCUGCGUAGCCCACUCUCAGCAGGCCUGCCACUUCCCAGACACGUCAUGAGUGUUCAUGCCUCUCGGCCUUUAUGCAUGCUGUGUUUUUCUACCUGGGACGCUUUUUUCUGUCUCCUUUACCUUCCUAGCAAAGCCCCCUCAUCCAUCCAUUUGAGACAAACUCAAAUAUCCUCCUGUAAAGCUUAUGCCAUCCUGUACUAUAUUAUCACAGCACCAUUUAGAACAUAUUUCAAUGCACUAAAAUGAUCUGCUUAAUUAUUUCCUCCCACUCCAUUGUGAGAGUCUUCAGGACGGAACCCUGACUUACUCCAUAUGCCCAGCUCUGAGCACCGGUCCUGCCACAUGCUGAGUUCUCAGGGAAAAUCUGCCAGUCGAACACAUGAAUGAAGGAAGCACAAAUGGGGACACGGAGUGCAGAAGAGCAAUGUUUUCAAUCUCGAGGGCAUGUUGAUCAGGGAGGUGCUAUUCAGCCGACCAACAACCCUCCCCUAAUGGCCAGGCUCUGGCUGGACUCUGGAUACAAAGAUGAGGAAGACCCUAUCUCCUUCCUCAAGGAGCUCAUAGCCAGCCUUUCCUCUAGUUGGAGAGCUGCAGAUCAAGG